GUCCCUGUGAUGAUGAAUUACUGGAAUUACCGCCUGAAUGUAAGUGAUGACAACUAACUCUGAGGGAUUGG